rnacentral:rRNA from 1 species
AUUGAACGCUGGCGGCAGGCCUAACACAUGCAAUUCGAGCGAGCGGCGGACGGGUGAGUAAUGUAUUGGGAGCUGCCCGAUAGAGGGGGAUAACUACUGGAAAAGGUGGCUAAUACCGCAUACUAUCGGAUGAACCCAUAUGGGAUUAGCUAGUAGGUGGGGUAAAGGCUCACCUAGUCGACGAUCUCUAGCUUGUCUGAGAGGAGGAUCAGCCACACUGGGACUGAGACACGGCCCAGCCUCCUACGGGAGGCAGCAGUGGGGAAUAUGGCACAAUGGGCGCAAGCCUGAUGCAGCCAUGCCGCGUGUAUGAAGAAGGCCUGAGGGUUGUAAAGUACUUGCAGCGGGGAUGCGUUACCCGCAGAAGAAGCACCGGCUAACUCCGUGCCAGCCGCCGCGGUAAUAC